GAUUGAACGCUGGCGGCAGGCCUAACCCAUGCAAGUCGAGCGGAUGAAGGGAGCUUGCUCCUGGAUUCAGCGGCGGACGGGUGAGUAAUGCCUAGGAAUCUGCCUGGUAGUGGGGGAUAACGUCCGGAAACGGGCGCUAAUACCGCAUACGUCCUGAGGGAGAAAGUGGGGGAUCUUCGGACCUCACGCUAUCAGAUGAGCCUAGGUCGGAUUAGCUAGUUGGUGGGGUAAAGGCCUACCAAGGCGACGAUCCGUAACUGGUCUGAGAGGAUGAUCAGUCACACUGGAACUGAGACACGGUCCAGACUCCUACGGGAGGCAGCAGUGCGGAAUAUUGGACAAUGGGCGAAAGCCUGAUCCAGCCAUGCCGCGUGUGUGAAGAAGGUCUUCGGAUUGUAAAGCACUUUAAGUUGGGAGGAAGGGCAGUAAGUUAAUACCUUGCUGUUUUGACGUUACCAACAGAAUAAGCACCGGCUAACUUCGUG
rnacentral:rRNA from 1 species